rnacentral:rRNA from 1 species
CCUACGGGAGGCAGCAGUAGGGAAUCUUCCACAAUGGGCGAAAGCCUGAUGGAGCAACGCCGCGUGGGUGAAGAAGGUCUUCGGAUCGUAAAACCCUGUUGGUAGAGAAGAAAGUGCGUGAGAGUAACUGUUCACGUGUCGACGGUAUCUAACCAGAAAGCCACGGCUAACUACGUGCCAGCAGCCGCGGUAAUACGUAGGUGGCCAGCGUUAUCCGGAUUUAUUGGGCGUAAAGGGAACGCAGGCGGUCUUUUAAGUCUGAUGUGAAAGCCUUCGGCUUAACCGGAGUAGUGCAUUGGAGACUGGGAGACUUGAGUGCAGAAGAGGAGAGUGGAACUCCAUGUGUAGCUGUGAAAUGCGUAGAUAUCUGGCAGAACACCAGUGGCGAACGCGGCUCUCUGGUCUGUAACUGACGCUGAGGUUCGAAAGCGUGGGUAGCAAACAGGAUUAGAUACCCCAGUAGUC